rnacentral:rRNA from 1 species
CACAAGCGGUGCACCAUAUGAUUUCAGUAGAAGCAUCGCCACGACCGUUUCCAAAUGUUGACUGCCUUUGACUUAUCUAGAGAUAUAGUUUUCGCUUCCGGGGGACAAAGUGCCAGGUGGUGCACGGUUGUUGUCACCUAGUGUCGUGAGAUGUUGGGUUAAGUCCCGCAACGAGCGCAACCCUUAAGCUUAGUUGCCAUCAUUAAGUUGGGCACUUUAAGUUGACUGCCGGUGACAAACCGGAGGAAGGUGGGGAUGACGUCAAAUCAUCAUGCCCCUUAUGAUUUGGGCUACACACGUGCUACAAUGGACAAUACAAAGGGCAGCUAAACCGCGAGGUCAAGCAAAUCCCAUAAAGUUGUUCUCAGUUCGGAUUGUAGUCUGCAACUCGACUACAUGAAGCUGGAAUCGCUAGUAAUCGUAGAUCAGCAUGCUACGGUGAAUACGUUCCCGGGUCUUGUACACACCGCCCGUCACACCACGAGAGUUUGUAACUAUAGAAGCCGGUGGAGUACCCA